CAAUAGCGUAUAUUAAAGUUGUUGCGGUAAAAAAGCUCGUAGUUGGAUUUCUACCGAAGAUAGCCGGUCGGGUCUUCGACCUGGUAUCUGGUUUUGUCUUUGGUAUCCUCAUAGGGAACGUUUCUGCGCUUUAUUGCGUGGUGCGGUAUCUAUGACUUUUACUUUGAGGAAAUUAGAGUGUUCACGGCAGGCAAACGCCUUGAAUAUAUUAGCAUGGAAUAAUAACAUAGGAUCUUCGUCCUAUUUUGUUGGUUUCUAGGGCUAAGAUAAUGAUUAAUAGGGAUAAUUGGGGGCAUCUGUAUCAACGCGUCAGAGGUGGAAUUCUUGGAUUGCGUUGCGACAAACUACUGCGAAAGCAUUUGCCAAGGAUGUUUUCAUUGA
rnacentral:rRNA from 1 species